CUAUAAAUAACACGCCUUCUCUCAUUCCCAAAAUCAUCCCUAAUCUGAUCCAAUUCUCGUUAUGCCGUUCUCCGUCUUCUGUUUUCGUGUUUGCUCGAGUUAAUUGUUGGUUUGUCGUCUAAUUUGCGUUGAUUCUUGCAACUUUGGUGAUCUGGUUGUGUUUUCCAUCGGAAUUCUACUAACCUUCCUAACGAACUCGCGAUAAUAGACGUUCUAGCGGAUGGUUCAAUCUACUUUUGAUGUUUGUGAUUUUCUGUAGAUUCUUCAGCUGAUUUGAUCUAUUCGGUUGUUUGCAAUGGUUGAAGAUCAAAAGCGGUUAUCGUUUCAAGUUUUGAUGGUCUAUUUAGGUUAUGAUAUAUUCAUCCGUGAAUACUUCCUGGGCUUACUUUCAUUUGUAUCUGUAGGGGGGAAAUCCUCUGGGUAGCUCGAGCUCGUGACCUAUCGGUUUUGAUGGUUAUUGGCAGUUUUUGGAAGCGCCUAUGGUUUGAUGUGUUUACUUAUUAUGUCGUCUUUAGCUGGUCAGAUGUGCAUCUUCAAGACGACGUUCAUGAUUUUUUUUCGGCAUUUUAUUUCCCUGAUUUUCGUCCGUCAAUCUUAUGCCAAAGGUGCUGUUUCCUUGACUUGGUGUCUCCAUAACCUUAAAUUGCAGAUUGGAAUUGUUGAGGAGGGUUGCAGAUGGCUAGAUUUAGUGACUGGGGGACUGCUUAAGCGUGCGAUUUCUUUCUGUUUUAUUUGAGCGGUAUUUCCCCCUGUUUUUGUGUGCUGUUCUCAUGCCCAUUAACUCACGGUGUCUUGGUUUUACCACCAAAUAUAUUCAAACAUUUACUAGUUCAUGUUGCCAUUCGUAAUUAGUUUUUCAGUUCUAUAUUUCUCAGUCUUUUUGAGGUCUUUAGGUAUGUGAUGCACUUUACUCCCUCUCUCCUCUUCAUUUUUCAGUGUCGUUUGGAAUAUAUGCUCUUACCAAUUUGUCAUAUUUCAUUCAUUUUGGUUUGAUUCCAUAGGAUGGCCACCCCUGAUUCAUCUAGCAUUUAUAUCCUAGGCUUUUUAGAAGCUUCAGCCCAGAUAAGUAUCUUACAAUUUAAGUUUUGGCUUAUUAAAUUCCCUUUUUCUAAUUUUCUUUCAUUUGGGUUCAUUACUAUUUAGCAACUUCAGAUCUGUCUAACUGAUAUCUGUUCAACAGUUCAAGCUGCAGCUAAUUUGGUCUGUUUAUGUAGUGCUGAUGUGGGAGUGUAGUGGUGGUCUCAUGUCUAUUAUAUUUUUCUCCUUGUUUCCCCUCUGCAUAUAUUUGUCCCUCUCUUUUCAGAGGUUCGACUUUUAGGUGGUUCUAGGUCUUUGACAAUGGAGAGCCGGUUUGACAAGCUUAUCCCUUUUUACUUGCCCUCAUAAAUCAUAUAUCAAAUCAUUUUUUGGCAUAGCUAACGUUGAGAAAUUAACAAUUCUGUGAUUUUUCAUCCAUCAAAUCUAGCUUGCAGAGUGCUAUGUGGAUCCCUAAUUAUACUGUUAAACCAGGUAUAUAUUCAUGUUAGUGUUUAGUGCUAAUAUAUCCUGUUGUGCUUUGUUGGGAAUUUUCCAGUGCUAGUGCAUUUGUCCUGACUGAUAGUGACAAGUGAAGUCAUCUACAUGAAGAUAUGGAGAUGUUUUCUCGCACCUUGUGACAGGGAAUAUUAGGAAUAAUCAAUGGUUCCAUCCGAGUUAAUGGAUCUUAUGGUGCGGCUAUCUUGAUCCUGUUAUUGGAAAAACCAUGAACUUUUAGAUGCCGGCAUUGAUAUAGUAGCAGAGGGAGUAUAGUGUUUCUUCUACAUCAUUUACCUUACACCUAGAUUAUCCUCUUGCUUAUCCUUAUCCUUAUCAAUUUCCAGAGAUCUUUGUGAGGUUCUUGGUCAGUUUCCAUCAUAAGGCGGUUCUGGUUUGAUGCUUGUCCCUUUGUGCAGUUUCAUCAACUUCAUUUUCUAUAUGGAUAUGGAUAUUGGUUUUUUUGACUCACUCUGACAGGAGAAACUGAGAGUAAAUUAUGAUUCCGCUGGCUCCGUUCUUGCAUUGAUGUAUCAUGUUUAUGGAGGGUGGUAGAGGGAGUAGUAUAUUACCUUACAACAUUUUUCCUCCUCGUAGAACUUCCCCGUACUUACUGUUUUGCUCUUUAAUAUCCAGAGAUCUUGGGGUGGCUCUCUAUCAGUAUCCAUAAGAUGGCAGUUCUGGUUUUCAUGCUUGGUUCCCUUUGGUCUGUUUCUUUCACUUUACUUUGUACGUCAAUGUGGUUGUAGAUAUGGUUGCUUCUUUCUUCAUCCUGUGACAGGUGAUGUUGAGUUAUGGUGCAAUCCAAGUAGGAUCUUAAGAUAUCUGAUGCUGGCAUCUCUGUAAUGUUUUGGAUGCUGCCAGAGGGAGCAUAUAUUUUAUCUUUUUCAUUUUUCUUCUAUCUAGACUUUCUUAUUGCUUAUUGUUAUACCCUUCAUAUUCCAGAUCUUAUCUUUUGAUGGGUCUUAAAUGGUUUUCACUGGAAGUCCGUUCUGUUCUGGUUUGGUAAUUGGUUUCCUCUGCUUCAUCUCAUCUGCUUUUAUUUUUUCAUAUUGUGGUGUGGAUAUUGUUUUCUGCUUCACGCCUGUGGCAGGUGAUACAAAGAACAAAAAGUACCAAAAAGUGGGAAGAUAAUGGGCUAAGAAAAUCAGUAGAGUAAGAUAUUGCUUCAAAAAGUUUGUGGGAUAAGCCAAAAUGAAAUUUUUCUGGAGAAUUAAAUGAAACAUUUUAAAGAAAAAAGUAAAUUAUGAUUAAUCUUAUGUUAGAGCUGUUCUUCUGGAGUUAUAGGGCUAUUUAUUUUUCAUAUGUUCUGUUCUACUAGCCUUCAUUUUUUGCAUCUGCAUUUCUACAUUCCAAAUCACCUAUAUUUCUAGGACUGAUGCUAAUUAUGUGCUACAGUUUUUCUUAUGUUCUGUUACUAGCCUUAUUUAUGUUUAUUUUUUGUUCCUCUAUUUUCAGAGGAUUGGCAUCCAGUUGUUCCUUGUCGGUUACAAUGGAUAGAUCUGGUUCGACAGGCUUGCCCCUUUCCAUUUAAUGAAAAAUUUCAUGUUAGAAUAUACCCUUUUGUUUGACCCCUUUGAAUUCUCGGUUGUGCUUCUAACCAGAGCAAGGUUCAGCAUUUGUUGGGUCUUGUCAUUAUGCUCAGUUACGGUGUUCAAGUCUGCAUGUCUACAUUCAGUCAUUUUCAGCAGUGUUUUGAAGUUGUGGACUAUGGGUACAUGGCUACUACAUUCAGUAAUUUUGCGUAGGUAUUAAGUUUAAUGUGGAUUACGGCGUAGGUAUCCAAGUUUAAUGUGGAUUAUGGCGGAGCACUGAUUUCUAGGGACAUGUGAUACAGUUGAUAAUGCAAAAUUAUCACUACUAAUAGCAGCUUUUCUUCAUUCGUACAUAUAGUUUUGAUUUGCAGCUUUUGAGUGAGUGGAAUCAAUGGCUCCCUUUUCUGGGAUGUUUGGUGAGCUUGAUCUCUCUUCUUUGCCUUGUCCUGUUUGCUUUAAAAGCUGACAUGAUGGUUUUCCUCACCUUGUGAUCCCUAUGCUGGCAAUGUGUGUGAGAUCAAUGUGCUACUAGUGAAAGAUUGGCUGUGUUCACUUCAUUAGGUCCGUCUUUUUGUUCAUUUGGAGGUCGUCAGGAGUUUUUCAUAUAUCUGUUCAAGGUUAUCGUUUCAAUAUUUCCGUACAUAAUGGAACAUCCUUACAUUUGUUGUGGUGGUUUGCUCUGGCUCCCACCAUAUCUAAUAGUGCUUGGCGGUCUUUGUUUGGUUUCGCAAUGAUAGCUCAACUGGGCGGUCUUUGUUUGGUGUCUGCAAUGAAUGCUCAAAUGGACUCUGUGACAGGGGGAGUGAAGUAGCUGUUAUGCUCCAUUUUGUCUUCUACAUUGUUUUUAUGCUUAUCUAUGGCUAUGCUCCUUAAUUUCCAGAGGUUUGGUCGUUGGGCGAUGUGGUGGACUUUUGUGGCUAACAGAAAGUUGUGGCUAGAUCAUGGACUGCAUCAUAUUUAGGUAUUCUUUGUCCUGGGUGUCCAACUUAUCCUUCUCCUAUGGGUUCUUGAGUUUUGUCUGCAGUGAUCUUUUCUCUUGAGCAUGUGAUUAUUACGUUUGCUGCCAUGGUUUCUCUGGUCUGCUUUUGCACAUACACCAAGUGAAACUUUUGGCUGAUGAAUCAGACUUGAUGCUAUGAUAGAGAGGCAGGAGUGGUGUAGGACAUUGUUUGAUCAGAUGCUUCUGUUCUUUUUUGCUACUCAAAUUGAUUUGAUUAGUACAUUGUUUGAUCAGAAGCUUCUGUUGGUUCAUCAAGCAUGACAGUUCGUGGUCGUUUUAUUUCUUGUCCUUAAUAUCCUUGUUACUGUGGACCUGCUUUUUCUGGUUUGAAGGUUCUCAACUCAGAAUCAUGCCUAGGCUGACUUCUAGUAGGCUUUUCAACAUUGUAACACACCUAUUGCUUGCUAAUUUCCAUCUUGAAGCACUAUGCAUAGUAGAAAAAAAAUGCUUAGGCUGACUUCUGGUAGGUCUUUGAACAUUGUAAUACAUCUUUUGCUUGCUAAUUGCUAUCUUGAAGCACUAUGUAUAGCGGAAACAAAAUGUUUAUGCUGACUUCUAGUAGGUCUUGCAACAUUGUAAUACAUCUUUUGCUUGCUGAUUGCUAUCUUGAAGCCUAUAGUGGAAAUAAAAUGCUGUUUGUUUUGAUA